UCCAGACUCCUACGGGAGGCAGCAGUGGGGGAUAUUGCACAAUGGGGGAAACCCUGAUGCAGCGACGCCGCGUGAGUGAAGAAGUAUUUCGGUAUGUAAAGCUCUAUCAGCAGGGAAGAAAAAAGACGGUACCUGACUAAGAAGCCCCGGCUAACUACGUGCCAGCAGCCGCGGUAAUACGUAGGGGGCAAGCGUUAUCCGGAUUUACUGGGUGUAAAGGGAGCGUAGACGGCAAUACAAGUCGGAAGUGAAAUACCCGGGCGCAACCUGGGAACUGCUUUGGAAACUGUAUGGCUGGAGUGCUGGAGAGGUAAGCGGAAUUCCUAGUGUAGCGGUGAAAUGCGUAGAUAUUAGGAGGAACACCAGUGGCGAAGGCGGCUUACUGGACAGUAACUGACGUUGAGGCUCGAAAGCGUGGGGAGCAAACAGGAUUAGAUACCCCCGUAAG
rnacentral:rRNA from 1 species